AGUCUAGUGUAACAAUUACAUAGUGAAACUGCGAAUGGCUCAUUAUAUAAGUUAUCGUUUAUUUGAUAGUUCCUUACUACUUGGAUAACCGUGGUAAUUCUAGAGCUAAUACAUGCUAAAAACCCCGACUUCGGAAGGGGUGUAUUUAUUAGAUUAAAAACCAAUGCCCUUCGGGGCUCACUGGUGAUUCAUAAUAACUUCUCGAAUCGCAUGGCCUUGCGCCGGCGAUGGUUCAUUCAAAUUUCUUCCCUAUCAACUUUCGAUGCUAGAGUAGUGUUCUAGCAUGGUUACAACGGGUAACGGAGGGUUAGGGCUCGACCCCGGAGAAGGAGCCUGAGAAACGGCUACUACAUCCAAGGAAGGCAGCAGGCGCGCAAAUUACCCAAUCCCGACACGGGGAGGUAGUGACGAUAAAUACUGAUACAGGGCUCUUUUGGGUCUUGUAAUUGGAAUGAGUACAAUUUAAAUCCCUUAACGAGGAACAAUUGGAGGGCAAGUCUGGUGCCAGCAGCCGCGGUAAUUCCAGCUCCAAUAGCGUAUAUUAAAGUUGUUGUGGUUAAAAAGCUCGUAGUAGAACCUUGGGCCUGGCUGGCCGGUCCGCCUCACCGCGUGCACUGGUCCGGCCGGGCCUUUCCCUCUGUGGAACCGCAUGCCCUUCACUGGGUGUGCCGGGGAAACAGGACUUUUACUUUGAAAAAAUUAGAGUGCUCCAGGCAGGCCUUUGCUCGAAUACAUUAGCAUGGAAUAAUAGAAUAGGACGUGUGGUUCUAUUUUGUUGGUUUCUAGGACCGCCGUAAUGAUUAAUAGGGACAGUCGGGGGCAUCAGUAUUCAAUUGUCAGAGGUGAAAUUCUUGGAUUUAUUGAAGACUAACUACUGCGAAAGCAUUUGCCAAGGAUGUUUUCUUUAUCAGGAACGAAAGUUAGGGGAUCGAAGACGAUCAAAUACCGUCGUAGUCUUAACCUAAACUAUGCCGACUAGGGAUCGGACGAUGUAAUUUUUGAUCGUUCGGACCUUACAAAAAUCAAGGGUUGG
rnacentral:rRNA from 1 species